UUGGAGGGCAAGUCUGGUGCCAGCAGCCGCGGUAAUUCCAGCUCCAAUAGCGUAUAUUAAAGUUGUUGCAGUUAAAAAGCUCGUAGUUGAAUUUCGGGAUUGACACAUCGGUCGUGCCUUAAGGGGUAUGAACUGGUGUAGUCAAUUUCUCACCUUCUGGAGAACCGCGAUGCCCUUAAUUGGGUGUCGCGGGGAACCAGGACCUUUACUUUGAAAAAAUUAGAGUGUUUAAAGCAGGCAUUUUGCUUGAAUACAUUAGCAUGGAAUAAUAAAAUAGGACGGCAUGAUUCUAUUUUGUUGGUUUCUAGGAUCACCGUAAUGACUAAUAGGGAUAGUUGGGGGCAUUAGUAUUCAAUUGUCAGAGGUGAAAUUCUUGGAUUUAUUGAAGACUAACUACUGCGAAAGCAUUUGCCAAGGAUGUUUUCAUUAAUCAAGAACGAAAGUUAGGGGAUCGAAGACGAUCAGAUACCGUCGUAGUCUUAACCAUAAACUAUGCCGACUAGGAAUCAGACGAUGUUAAUUUUUUAAUGACUCGUUCGGCGCCUUACGGGAAAC
rnacentral:rRNA from 1 species